GAUGAACGCUGGCGGCGUGCUUAACACAUGCAAGUCGAACGGAAAGGCUCCUGCUUGCAGGGGUACUCGAGUGGCGAACGGGUGAGUAACACGUGGGUGAUCUGCCCUGCACUUCGGGAUAAGCCUGGGAAACUGGGUCUAAUACCGGAUAGGACCACAUUUUGGAUGGUGUGGUGGAAAGUUUUUCGGUGUGGGAUGAGCUCGCGGCCUAUCAGCUUGUUGGUGGGGUAAUGGCCUACCAAGGCGUCGACGGGUAGCCGGCCUGAGAGGGUGUACGGCCACAUUGGGACUGAGAUACGGCCCAGACUCCUACGGGAGGCAGCAGUGGGGAAUAUUGCACAAUGGGCGCAAGCCUGAUGCAGCGACGCCGCGUGGGGGAUGACGGCCUUCGGGUUGUAAACUGCUUUCGCUAGGGACGAAGCGCAAGUGACGGUACCUGGAGAAGAAGCACCGGCUAACUACGUG
rnacentral:rRNA from 1 species